UUUUAAGGUAGCCUGCAUUAUCAGAAAACAUUUAAUACUAGCAUGUAGUUUCUUUAGUUGUUUCUGUAGAAAAGAAUUUGUUCUUUAAUUGCAAAUAACCAUCGGGAAGAUUUCACUUUUGUUUUGGGAUGUCAAACCAAGACUUGUCUAUUUUUCUCCCCCUCCACUAAUUAAUUUUCUUUGCUUCAUUUAACGUGUUCUUUGCAUCAUCAUUUCAGGUUCAAUAUCACGUUUUAAGGUACAUACAAAACUGGUAGCCUGCACAAUCAGAAAAUUCAUCCAGUGCAUUAAAGGCUUAGCUCUUCUUGGCAGCUAGCUUUUCUGGAUCUUUGAAAAGAAUGGAUUUCUGUAGAAAAGAAUUUGUUCUUUAAUUGCAAAUAACCAUCGAGAAUAUUUCACUUUUGUUUUGGGAUGUCAAACAAAGACUUGUCUAUUUUUCUCCCUCUUCACUAAUUAAUUUUCUUAGCUUUAUUUAACGUGUUUUUGCAUCAUCAUUUCAGGUUCAAUAUCACAUUUUAAGGUACAUACAAAAUUGGUAGCCUGCACUAUCAGAAAAUUCAUCCAGUGCAUUAAAGGCUUAGCUCUUCUUGGCAGCUAGCUUUUCUGGAUAUUCAAAACCCCUUCCACCAACACACCACCAUAACCAUCAGCGCCGUUUCCUGACCUCUUGUAUUCAGUAGGCCUCAAGUGAGGAAUUCUUUUUCCACUACGUACCCCUCUUCUUGGAUUUGGUAGCAUAUAUAUAGCUGUAAGUAAUUAGUCGUUGCACCAUUUGUUAUUCUUUCUUUGUUUUGUGGUUUGUAAGUGUUCACAUUUGCUUAUAAUCUUUGAUAUCGCAAUUCUUAGACUGUAAUAGGAGGUUUAGCUUUUUGGUUUUGACUGUUUAAGAGUUUAAUACUAACAUGUAGUUUCUUUAGUUGUUUUUGUAGAAAAGAAUUAGUUUGAUAAUUGCAAAUAACCACCGGGAAGAUUUCACUUUUGUUUUGGGAUGUCAAACAAACACUUGCCUAUUUUUCUCCCCUCCACUAACUAAUUUUCUUAGCUUCAACUGUACGUACUUGUUGAAGCCAUUUAAUUCUUUGCAUCAUCAUUUCAGGUUCUUUUUAUUAGUGUCCUACAUUAACAUUGUUCUCGCCAGUCUUUUCAGAUUGGGUUGAUCUGCUGAUUUGAUCAGGUAGCUAUUUAUAAAUUUGAGUUUGCAUUGCUAUCUAGUAAGAUUUGAAAAAUUCUAGUAGUAAUGAAUACUAAAGAAUUCCAUUAUGUCAUUCAGGUUAAGAUGUUGCGCCGCACAAUCAGUUGUCCAAUAGCCUAUUCCCAGAGGUAUAUUACUGCUCUCAAAACUUGAUGCUUAGUGAAAUAAUUAGAAGUAGAGUUGUAACAACAAAGGAGCUUUAGUGUUUCCAUAGACUUAAUUCCUUGGAUAAUUAUAGUUAUCAAAAUUAUAUAUUUAAUAAAGUUACUUUGGUGAUAGUAAUUCAGGUUCACAUCGGCACCCAUUGAUUUUUCAGAUGCAGCUUGGGUUUUAAGGAUUCGAAGUCGAGUCCUCACUUGCUAAUCUCAGGCUCCUGAAAGUUUUGGGCUCAUCUUGGACUUAAGUAUUAAAAGACUUGCAAAAUCGAAACUAUGUACUUUGUAUCAUUUAGGUUUGUUUUGCUCGAUUGGCUCGGCUCUCUCGUUUGUUUGGGUUGUUGAGGAAGUAAUGUCUCUUUAGGUAAUUGUUUGUUUAAUAAGACGCCCAUGGGUAGCUUAUUUAGUUCAAACAUUUAGCAUAGAAGGUAUUUUGAAUGCCUUUAGGUUUCUCCUAAAUUAACUAGAUUUUUAAAAUGAGUUGAGGUGUGCCAUAUUAGCCAAAUGUAUAAUAUAUGGGCCUUAUGAGCUAAUUUAGAAACCUUGUUUGUUAGAAAAAAUCAAGGCGCGCCAUGCCAAGUAAAAACUUCAAAAUGCACGGCCCUCAUUUAAUUGAUCUUGAACCUUUAGAAAUCGAGGUGUGCCAUUAGCUUAAUUUUCAUGGCCCUCGCAACCAAGCAGGGGAUAAUAUCAUUCAAGCAUAGCUUCAGGCAAGGGAAUGGAGUGGCACACAUUUUGGCAAAUGCAGCACUAAGAAAUAACUCUUUUGAUAAGCUAUACAGUUUUGGUACACCUCCUGAUUUUGUUAGGGCCGUCUAUGAGAAUGAUAUGGAGGACUAUGUUUAUGUUAGAACUAGUUGUAUUAAAUAAUGUGAAGAUCUAGCUGCACUAGGAAAUAUGAGUGCCAUAUGUAGCCUAAUGAUAGAUUCUAAUGAUGCAUGUAUGUCAAACAUCCGUAGGAGGAAACCAUCCCUCUCUAUGUAACUUAAUAUGUGUUUAUAUAUAUAUAUAUAUAUAAUAUGAUUUCUGUUUCAAAAAUAAAAAGGUGCUACUUCACAAUUCCUUAAAAGAAAAUCUUAAAUUAUAUUUAAUCAGAGAGCCAUAUUUACACAAAACCAUCCGAACCCUAAAAAAAAGGAGUGCAUUUAUUGUUGGUUGAUGAAGUUGAUGGACAGAAGUAAAUUAUUUUAAUUUUUGAUACGCAAAACUGGAACUAAUAGUACAGCCUUGAAAUACCAUCAAAUAUGCAAAUGAAGUUUAAAUAGCAAGAGUAAUAGAGACGUAGCAGAAGAAAAACAUUUAAUAUCACAUUUUAAGGUAGCCGGUAGUAUCAGAUAACAUUUAAUACUAGCAUGUAGUUUCUUUAGUUGUUUCUGUAGAAAAGAAUUUGUUCUUUAAUUGCAAAUAACCAUCGGGAAGAUUUCACUUUUGUUUUGGGAUGUCAAACCAAGACUUGUCUAUUUUUCUCCCCCUCCACUAAUUAAUUUUCUUUGCUUCAUUUUUGUUUUGGGAUGUCAAACGAAGACUUGUCUAGUUUUCUCCCCCUCCAAUAAUUAAUUUUCUUAGCUUCAUUUAACGUGUUUUUGCAUCAUCAUUCAGGUUCAAUAUCACAUUUUAAGGUACAUACAAAAUUGGUAGCCUACCCUAUCAGAAAAUUCAUCCAGUGCAUUAAAGGCUUACCUCUUCUUGGCAGCUAGCUUUUCUGGAUAUUUAAAACCUCUUCCACCUCCAUCAUCACCAUCACCAUCAUCACCACCAAGCUCUUCUUGGCAGCUAGCUUUUCUGGAUAUUCAAAACCCCUUCCACCAACACACCACCAUAACCAUCAGCACCGUUUCCUGACCUCUUGUAUUCAGUAGGCCUCAAGUGAGGAAUUCUUUUUCCACUACGUACCCCUCUUCUUGGAUUUGGUAGCAUAUAUAUAUAGCUGUAAGUAAUUAGUCGUUGCACCAUUUUUUAUUCUUUCUUUGUUUGUGGUUUG
rnacentral:lncRNA from 1 species